rnacentral:lncRNA from 1 species
UAUUUAAAGACUAAACAACAUGAUAGCUUGGAUUUACUUCAGAGUAAGCCAGGCUGGGGCCAGGUGUAGGAGAGGACUUUCAGCCGUCUUUUUGCUGUCCUUUUCGUUGAUGACUUCAGCGUGUCCUGUGGUACCAGUGAAGCAAGGACAUUUUUCAGGACUCCCUUGCAGAGGCUGAGAGGGUGGAGCUAUAGAGAAUGCACUGCAGCGCUGACUCUGCCUCCCAGGCAUGCCACCAUAUGCAGUCAGUUGAAAUGAAACCCGCGUGUGUCAGACAUCACAGAGGCCUGUGUGAACUGAAGGCUCUUGUGAGAGUUGAUGAAAGAUGAAGAAAGUAACCUUUACUACCAGCAGCCACUGAAGUUGGAAGUGGGGUGCUACUGUGACAUAACCAAGGCAAAGCUGAGUGGUAUUACACGUAGGAGUUACAGGAGGACUCUGCAAAUGGAUUGGAAAGACUGCUGUAGGCUGAAAACGAAUGACAUUUGCGAAGAUGCUGAAGAGGCAAAUAGUAUGGUAGGUUGGAGACCUCAAAGGCUGAUGUGACCAGACCAAGAAGAAAGAAUAACCCUAGAGGGAAGUGAAGAAGUAAGAUAAGGCCACAUCACAGAGGGCCUUGUAGCAUUUUAAAAUUUUUAGAUUUAAUCUUCAAUGCGUUAUGAAAGCCAAGGGUCAAUAAGAAACUCUCUGUGAAAGUGAUAGUUUUACUUAAAAAUCAGUAAAGCAAUCACAGAUAUAUUUUUUGUUAAAAACAGAAAAUAUUUAAAACCUGGAACAUUGAAAGUUACAGUCAUCCUAUCUCUCUACAUCUAAGUUCCACAUCACAUCUUUCUUAAGUAAAAAGCUAUUCCCCUAAGUAGUCAUAACAUUAUUAUGACAGCUUACAAAAUUCUUAAAAAGUGAGAUAGUGUUUCAAAUUUUAAAAUAGUUAUAUGUGAAUACAUUUUCUCCAAAAAAGCUAUUCUUACAGAAAAGACAGCUGCAAAUAUAACAAAGAUUUAUUUAAAACCCUGUGUUUAAUAAGCAAUAGUUUGAUUUAACCCUAGCUUACUGGGACUCUGAGUUUCCACCCAAAUCAGGUAAUUUUAGGACUCUAAUGUUUUUUUUUUUUUUUUUGGUACCUGGGUACCGGGGAUCAAAAUCGGUUCCUUCAGUUUGCAAAGCAGGCGGUGGAACCACUGAGCUAAAUCCCAAGCCCAGGACUCUAAUUCUUGCUGGAAUGUUUUACUCUAGAGAGAGGGGACUGAAAGUGACAUUUUUAGUGUCCAUUUUAACUCUGUCCCAUUGGGAAAGCUUAAGGAUUUGCCCUUGUUUCCAGUGGCAACAAAGGAGUCAAGUUGCCAUUUCUCUUGCUCAUCCAUUUUAAUAGACCACAGCAAGUAGCACUCCAUCAACCUGUUUUAUCUCUGUCAACCUUCCAGAGGUCUUCAGUUGGCAUGGUUAAUGUCCAGAUAUCCAUCUUACUGAUGUAAAAAGUGGCUAAACCUAGACAUAAUUUAGGGUCCUGGCCCUAGUCAUGAGACCCCAUUUAAAGCCAGCAUUGUAUCCAUAGGCCCAGUGGGAAUACUGCAUAUGAUAGUUUAAUACAGCUGCUGUCUUAGAGCAAUUUAUUUUCAGAUAUUUGUAUCGAUGCUUUCCCUUUCUACUCUCUGAAAUGCUGUGGUGACAUAUGUUUACAUGAGGCCUGAGAAAGUCCCAG